AAGUGGUAUGCUCAGUAGCGGCGAGUGAGCGGCAAAAGCUCAAAUUUGAAAUCUGGCGUCUUUGGCGUCCGAGUUGUAAUUUGAAGAAGGUAUCUUUGGGCCCGGCUCUUGUCUAUGUUCCUUGGAACAGGACGUCACAGAGGGUGAGAAUCCCGUGCGAUGAGAUGACCCGGGUCUGUGUAAAGUUCCUUCGACGAGUCGAGUUGUUUGGGAAUGCAGCUCUAAGUGGGUGGUAAAUUCCAUCUAAAGCUAAAUAUUGGCGAGAGACCGAUAGCGAACAAGUACAGUGAUGGAAAGAUGAAAAGAACUUUGAAAAGAGAGUGAAAAAGUACGUGAAAUUGUUGAAAGGGAAGGGCUUGAGAUCAGACUUGGUAUUUUGCAUGCUGCUCUCUCGGGGGCGGCCGCUGCGGUUUACCGGGCCAGCAUCGGUUUGGAGCGGCAGGAUAAUGGCGGAGGAAUGUGGCACGGCUUCUGCUGUGUGUUAUAGCCUCUGACGAUACUGCCAGCCUAGACCGAGGACUGCGGUUUUUACCUAGGAUGUUGGCAUAAUGAUCUUAAGUCGCCCGUCUUGAACCCCGGACCA
rnacentral:rRNA from 1 species